rnacentral:rRNA from 1 species
GUAGGUGGCAAGCGUUGUCCGGAAUUAUUGGGCGUAAAGCGCGCGCAGGCGGUUCUUUAAGUCUGAUGUGAAAGCCCACGGGCUCAACCGUGGAGGGUCAUUGGAAACUGGAGAACUUGAGUACAGAAGAGGAAAGCGGAAUUCCACGUGUAGCGGUGAAAUGCGUAGAGAUGUGGAGGAACACCAGUGGCGAAGGCGGCUUUCUGGUCUGUAACUGACGCUGAGGCGCGAAAGCGUGGGGAGCAAACAGGAUUAGAUACCCUGGUAGUCCACGCCGUAAACGAUGAGUGCUAAGUGUUACGGGGGGUUUCCGCCCCUUAGUGCUGCAGCUAACGCAUUAAGCACUCCGCCUGGGGAGUACGGCCGCAAGGCUG